GAGCUACCCUUCCCUGCCUCCAGUGCCAUGUGUCCGGGCCAUGUGAGCAGAGCUUUGUGGGCCUGAGGUGGCUCUGGGGCUUCAGGGCUCUGCUGU
rnacentral:pre_miRNA from 8 species